GUUGCGCGCGGUGCUUCUUCACUUUCGCUUGCUGCUGGGAGAGGAGUGGCUGUGCUUUCCAAGCCGGGCGCCUUCAUCAAUGGAAGAAGCCUCCAAGACGAGAGAAUGAUGACAGGCAAGGAAUAUGGAAAGGUUUAGGAAGAAUCUUAGAAGCAUGAGGACCCGCCAUACCAUGGGAUUUCACUCUUGAGCAUCUGAGGGAUCCCGAGAAACUGAGCCAGCAUUUGAGUCAGGGACGGUGCGGCUUAGAUAGAUCAAAGGAAGUACGGCUUAUCUGGGGCUUGGCUACUGCCUACCGUGCUCUGUAUAGUAUUGUUCUGGAGAGAGAGAGUUUCCGAGUGGAGGUGCAAGCCAAAGGGGGAAAUCUUCCAGUCAGACCUGAUCAGUCACAGCAGACACCAGUAACAGUGUCAGUAGCCCCUGUAGAAGGCAAGAAAUGGAAGCGGGUGUCCUCAUGUCUAGAGCGAAAAAAAGAAGAAGAGGUGGAGGAGGAGGUAGAGGAAGAUCCAGGCGAAGGGACUUCCUCAGAACCAAGAAAGGCAAAAGCAAAAACUAAGAGGCAUGAAGAGGACAGCGAUGAAGAGGAGAUCUCUAUUACUGUUCGUCGACCUCUCAAGAUGACUGAAAUCCAAAGCUCAAGGAAGGAAUUUGAACGAUGUUCGUACAAAACUAUUGUCACCUGCUUGCUUCGCUGUUGGGAUAGUGGGGUCAGUAGCUUGUCUCUAGAUGGUAACAAAGCCCGCCAACUAGGAGACAUUGCCAAAGACAAAUCCAUUGACAGGGGAAUUAGUAGAUGCUUGGAUGGAGCUGCAACCCUCUGGGACCAAAUAUUAAUAGCUGUGAGGGAAAGGUAUCUCUACAUAGAACUUCUGCAGCCUGCAAUGAAAACGUGGGAUACAAUUGAGAAAGGUAUCCAGUAUUUGAGGGAAAUAGCCCUGGUGGAAAUGUUAUAUGACUCUAAUUUUGUUCCUAAUGAUCCACGCCAAAACCAUGAUCCGGAGAGAGUGAGGACAAC
rnacentral:lncRNA from 1 species